CGUAUGGUGCAAGCGUUAUCCGGAUUUACUGGGUGUAAAGGGAGCGCAGGCGGUACGGCAAGUCUGAUGUGAAAGCCCGGGGCUCAACCCCGGUACUGCAUUGGAAACUGUCGGACUAGAGUGUCGGAGGGUAAGUGGAAUUCCUAGUGUAGCGGUGAAAUGCGUAGAUAUUAGGAGGAACACCAGUGGCGAAGGCGGCUUACUGGACGAUUACUGACGCUGAGGCUCGAAAGCGUGGGGAGCAAACAGGAUU
rnacentral:rRNA from 1 species